UUCUUGUAGUUAAAGUUUUUAAUGGCAGCUUUUCGAGCUGGAGA
rnacentral:tRNA from 1 species